GAUGAACGCUGGCGGCGUGCCUAAUACAUGCAAGUCGAGCGAACGGACGAGAAGCUUGCUUCUCUGAUGUUAGCGGCGGACGGGUGAGUAACACGUGGAUAACCUACCUAUCAGACUGGGAUAACUUCGGGAAACCGGAGCUAAUACCGGAUAAUCUUUUGAACCGCAUGGUUCAAAAGUGAAAGACGGUCUUGCUGUCACUUAUAGAUGGAUCCGCGCUGCAUUAGCUAGUUGGUAAGGUAACGGCUUACCAAGGCAACGAUGCAUAGCCGACCUGAGAGGGUGAUCGGCCACACUGGAACUGAGACACGGUCCAGACUCCUACGGGAGGCAGCAGUAGGGAAUCUUCCGCAAUGGGCGAAAGCCUGACGAAGCAACGCCGCGUGAGUGAUGAAGGUCUUCGGAUCGUAAAACUCUGUUAUUAGGGAAGAACAUAUGUGUAAGUAACUGUGCACAUCUUGACGGUACCUAAUCAGAAAGCCACGGCUAACUACGUG
rnacentral:rRNA from 1 species